GGCAGAGAAGUCACGAGAUGCAAGAGUGCAGCAGAAGCAUGUGCCUCAGCAGAUCCAGCAGCAGGCCCAGUCCAAACUGCCGCCGCAUCUGCUCAAGAGUCUGAAAACCCACACUUGUCGCGAUGAUGUCCACAUUAGCUUUUCCCAUCUGCUGAGUGAGCUCAACAAGCCAGAAGCUCCAUAUGCCCUCACUGUUGCCAACAGGCUGUAUGGAGAGAAGUCCUACCAGUUUGUUGGGGAUUUCUUGAACAAAACAAAGAAGCUCUACAAAGCAGAGCUGGAGCCUGUGGACUUCAAAACCAGCUCUGAGGAGGCAAGGCUCAAGAUCAACGGCUGGGUAGAGAAGCAGACACAAGGUAAAAUUAAGGAUGUGCUGGCCCAGGGUGUGUUGGACAGCUUGGCUCAGCUUGUGCUGGUUAAUGCCUUCUACUUCAAAGGCAACUGGAACAAGAAGUUUCAGGAGAGCGCCACACGUGAUGCUGAGUUUAGACUCAACAAGGUAAUGCUGCACACUC